GACAGAGGGUGCAAACGUUGUUCGGAAUUACUGGGCGUAAAGCGCGUGUAGGCUGCUUGGAAAGUCGGAUGUGAAAGCCCUGGGCUCAACCUAGGAAGUGCAUUCGAAACUUCUGAGCUGGAGUGCUGGAGAGGAAGGCGGAAUUCUCGGUGUAGAGGUGAAAUUUGUAGAUAUCGAGAGGAACACCGGUGGCGAAGGCGGCCUUCUGGACAGUAACUGACGCUGAGACGCGAAAGCGUGGGGAGCAAACAGG
rnacentral:rRNA from 1 species